GAUGAACGCUGGCGGCGUGCCUAAUACAUGCAAGUCGAGCGAACCACUUCGGUGGUGAGCGGCGAACGGGUGAGUAACACGUAGGUUAUCUGCCCAUCAGACGGGGACAACGAUUGGAAACGAUCGCUAAUACCGGAUAGGACGAAAGUUUAAAGGUGCUUCGGCACCACUGAUGGAUGAGCCUGCGGCGCAUUAGCUAGUUGGUAGGGUAAAGGCCUACCAAGGCGACGAUGCGUAGCCGACCUGAGAGGGUGAACGGCCACACUGGGACUGAGACACGGCCCAGACUCCUACGGGAGGCAGCAGUAGGGAAUCUUCGGCAAUGGGCGAAAGCCUGACCGAGCAACGCCGCGUGAAUGAUGAAGGCCUUCGGGUUGUAAAAUUCUGUUAUAAGGAAGAAUGGCUCUAGUAGGAAAUGGCUAGAGUGUGACGGUACCUUAUGAGAAGACCACGGACUAACUACGUGCCAGCAGCCGCGGU
rnacentral:rRNA from 1 species